GUUUCAAAUAGCUAAUUGACUAUGUUGUUGGGGGAAGUUUUUAGGGUUUUUGAAAGGUUUUGAAGGAGUCAAAGCUUAUAGGAAGGUCCAAACCUUAAGCAAGAACACCAAAGAGUAUUGGCUAAGCGUAACUGGACUGAACGUUGGAGGGUGAAAACCUGCUGAGCGCUAAGGACUCCAAGUAAGAACAAGGGCAAGGCAGAGCAGUGAGCGCUGGAGUCUUCCUUGCAAAUGUACAUGUGGACCGACCUUUUGGGAAGCCUUUUUAUUUUUGGAAAUGUUGUGUAAUUUUCCUAAACUAGGCUCACUCUAAUCUUUAUAAAAUAUGUUUGUAACUAAAU